AAGAAGUUAGACACUGAAUUUAAACAACACUCAUUACAGUUUGAUCAUUCUAUCACUUUAAUUAGUUUAACUAACAAAAUAACUCUUUGGAGGAGGGCUGUUUUCCAUAAUAACUUUCGAUCGAGCACGAUUUCCAAAAUGUAACAUAACUAUAUUAUCAUAAAUUCUAGGUUCAUAAAGGACAUAAAGAAUAAUGGACGUGAAAUUGUUAAAAAAAAAUGGCAUUGUGCAUUUUAAAAUGGAUAAGUUUCGUUUUUUUUGUGCAAAUUGCAAUUUCACUUUAUACAUUACCCAUCAAUAGCCAAUCUCCAUUACCUAUCAAUCGCCAAUUUUCAAUCAAUUUUUUGUCACGCUUUGGUUCUUGACUCCAUUUUCAUUGAUUCUAAUAUGGGAUAAGGUAAUAAAGAUUUUUAGUCGAUUGAGUUACAUAUUUUGUGAUUUAGAAAUCAGCAUUUAUUAAUUCCCUGUUAGACGGAGUCAUGGACAUUGGUUUAAGUUCAAAUAUUGCUUCAUGAAUUCAAAUAUGGAAUAAGGUAAUAUGGGUGUUUAGUCGAUUGAGUUACAUAUUUUGCGAUUCAGUGAGAUUUUCUGUUAAUUUAGAAAUUGGCAUAUGUUAAUUUUCAGUUAGACUGAGUCAUAGAUACUGGUUUAAGUUCAAAUAUUUGUUCCAUAUGGUUAUUCAAAGUCAGUAUUAAUUAGUAGCAAUAAAAUGUGACGUUUGUUGAGAUUUUUUUAGCUAUCUUUAGUUUGCUUGCAAGCCUAUUAGGGACACUUAGUAAUAAAUGCAAGAACGAAAACCACUAUUUCUUUGCAUUUUCUCUGUUGUAGUUCUCUACAUUUUUUCCCUUUGCCUUUGCGAACUCUAAAUUCCCGAUAGUUGUAGUAUCAAAGUCUUGUUCUUUCAUAACUGGGUGUACAACUCAUGGCGACUAACGACAAUCAGUAUUCUAAAAAGCAUAAAGCGUAGCUAAGCGUGGAGCUGAAUUCCCCAAUUGUCCGACUGUUGCUGAGUAGUUUUCGAAUAUCAAACGGACCUCCCCAAAAGGUAAAUUUAGAGUUGUAGCUAUGAGUGUUACAGAUGGUCUGAUGAGAAGAAUGAAAGUGAUUGACCGUCAUUGCUUCUUCUUCGGGAGAAGAAGUUCACGACACUUUAAGCUUUAUGAGCUUAAGUGAGACUGUGCGAGG
rnacentral:lncRNA from 1 species